GACGAACGCUGGCGGUGUGCUUAACACAUGCGAGUCGAACGGAAAGGCCCUGCUUUUGUGGGGUGCUCGAGUGGCGAACGGGUGAGUAACACGUGAGUAACCUGCCCUUGACUUUGGGAUAACUUCAGGAAACUGGGGCUAAUACCGGAUAGGAGCUCCUGCUGCAUGGUGGGGGUUGGAAAGUUUCGGCGGUUGGGGAUGGACUCGCGGCUUAUCAGCUUGUUGGUGGGGUAGUGGCUUACCAAGGCUUUGACGGGUAGCCGGCCUGGGAGGGUGACCGGCCACAUUGGGACUGAGAUACGGCCCAGACUCCUACGGGAGGCAGCAGUGGGGAAUAUUGCACAAUGGGCGGAAGCCUGAUGCAGCAACGCCGCGUGCGGGAUGACGGCCUUCGGGUUGUAAACCGCUUUCGCCUGUGACGAAGCGUGAGUGACGGUAAUGGGUAAAGAAGCACCGGCUAACUACGUG
rnacentral:rRNA from 1 species